rnacentral:rRNA from 1 species
UGGACCUGGAGCGAAUCUCAGAAAUAACGUCUCAGUUCGGAUUGUAGUCUGCAACUCGACUACAUGAAGCUGGAAUCGCUAGUAAUCGCGGAUCAGAAUGCCGCGGUGAAUACGUUCCCGGGUCUUGUACACACCGCCCGUCACACCAUGGGAGUCGGGAAUGCCCGAAGCCAGUGACCCAAGCGAGAGCAGGGAGCUGUCGAAGGCAGGCCGGAUAACUGGGGUGAAGUCGUAACAAGGUACC